GGUGAGUGUUCUAGGACUAAUACUAGUUUGACUAAUUAUGUGUUGUAUUGGAUCUAGAAUCUAUGACUUUUAAGUUAUAUUUAAUUAAGUUAUGUGAUUUAGAUAUUAAUUUCUUUAUGUAUGUUAUUUUUUAUGCUUAUAUAUAUAUUUAAGUAUAGUUUUACAUGUUUGGUAGGAUCUUACGAUCUCACGAUUUACGAUUUUUGACCCCCCUCCCGAUCCUAGGUAAGAUCCUGAUU